rnacentral:lncRNA from 1 species
GAGAGGAAGGAAAGGGAGUGGUAGCAAAGAGGAGGGAAUGGACUUCCACUCCCCAGUGCUUCUGUAGUUUCUCCCAGCAACAGAUAACAGCCAUUCAGGGUUCAAAGUGGGCUCGUGGUCUUUGGAACAGGGAUUACCAGGGUCUCCAGACCCAGCAGGCAUUCCACUUCACAGACAGGACCCUAGCUGGAGAAAGCCAAGGGUUCUGCAUUUCUGGAUGGCAGUGGGCACCCACCCGGGCCUGUACCUGCUCUUGGUGGCCUGUGGGCUGACAUCUCUCCCUUCCUCGGGCUGGAGGAAACCCUGUAAACUCAAACACUUGGGCUCAGUAGUCCCAGCAGAACUGUCACCAGAGUGCCUGUUUGACUUGGCUCCUGCCGUGUUGUUUUAGAAAAGGAACACCUUGCCAACGCUCAAAUUUUGGAACACUUGGAAUAAAAACCUGUAGGUGUAUAAAUACAUACAGCCCCCUUAACCCCCAACUCUAGAAACAAACUUGAUAAGAUUUUUUUCUCUCAAAAACCAGACAAGCUAGCCCCAAGGGGCUCACAACAGAUUGUGGCGACAAUAACCUUGGACGGAGUGGGGGACCCUGGCCAGCACAAUCCAACCCCCACCAGUCCCUAAUGCCUUGAACUCAGCAUGCUCCCAGAUGACCACCCAGGCCUCUGCCUUUAGAAAUCCUACAGCUCGUCUACGACCCCAAGCAGCCGCUUCCUGGCUGGAUGACCUUGCUUCUUUUUGCCUCUGUUUUCUAAAACACCCAACCUCAGAGCCCAGUGGAGUGAUCCUCCAGCAUCUGACAUAGGUGGUACCCAAGGCUGAAUUCAGAGCUGACACAAACUUGCAGUCGACUGUCUCAGAAUGCCAAGAUCUUCAACAUACCCCUGGCUGCCCUCAUCCAUUCAGGAGCUCUGAGAGGCUACUUCUGUUCUUGCUGGGGACCCAGGCGCCUUGUUUGGUGGCAGGCCUCCUGCUCCCUAUGUGAGCAGCCUGAUUAUGGGAGGGGAAGUCUGGCUUUCCUUCUCUCUCUUCUACUCCUUCAGGGCUCCCCACUCUGGACCAUGCCUGACACCUAUAGCAUCCCCUUCUAUCUGACUUCUGGUCCUGCUACAAGCUCCUCAAAGCAUCUCCAAUCCCGACUCCAGCAUCCUUUUCCCCACCAUAUUCUGGCCAUAGGCCAAGUUGCCCUAAGCAUGUUUAUGCCUCUCUCUGCUGGGCAUACUGCUCACACCUGUGACAGUUUGCCUCACAGGGAGCCUGGCCACAGC